rnacentral:rRNA from 1 species
UAAUAUAAAGUCUAACCUGCCCAAUGAUUAUUUGAAUGGCUGCGGUAUUUUGACCGUACUAAGGUAGCAUAAUAAUUAGUUUUUUAAUUGAAAGCUGGUAUGAAUGGUUGGACGAGAAAAUAGCUGUCUCAAUUUAAUUUUAAUUAGAAUUUUAUUUUUAAGUAAAAAAGCUUAAAUGAGUUUAAAAGACGAGAAGACCCUAUAGAGUUUUAUAUUUUAUUUUUAUUAUAAAUUUUAAGAAUUUUAUUUUUUAUUAUAAAUAAAGUAUUUUGUUGGGGUGACAAAAAAAUUAAAAGAACUUUUUUUAUAGAUUAUACAUUGAUUUAUGAGUAAGUGAUCCAUUAUUUAUGA